rfam:Heterocephalus glaber contig169643, whole genome shotgun sequence.
AGGUAUGACUGUGAUCUGGCUGCGACAUGGUACCCCGCUGAACCCCCUGGAUUGCCAGAGUUCAUUCGGCUCGUCUGCCUGGUUAGAUCGCUGCCCCUUCCUCCCCCACAAUCCAUGUUUGUCCUUCUGGAAGUUGCGCACCAAGAGGGCAACCUUCCCGGGGAUGGUUCUUCUCUCAGGAGAUGUGGUGUGGCUGUGCUCUCCUGCUAGGAUCUUGCAACUGGCUCUCAAGGCCCAAUAAAGGGGGAAGGCAGGGUGAUCAAACUUGCAAGACCUCCAGAUAGGUGGGCGAAUAGCAGUCCACUUUUCUUU